rnacentral:rRNA from 1 species
AACGGACCCUUCGGGGUUAGUGGCGGACGGGUGAGUAACACGUGGGAACGUGCCUUUAGGUUCGGAAUAGCUCCUGGAAACGGGUGGUAAUGCCGAAUGUGCCCUUCGGGGGAAAGAUUUAUCGCCUUUAGAGCGGCCCCGCGUCUGAUUAGCUAGUUGGUGAGGUAACGGCUCACCAAGGCGACGAUCAGUAGCUGGUCUGAGAGGAUGACCAGCCACACUGGGACUGAGACACGGCCCAG